AUCCAGCUGACGAGUCCCAAAUAGGACGAAACGCUCGUCCUAAAU
rfam:Schistosoma mattheei strain Denwood, Zambia genome assembly, scaffold: SMTD_scaffold0001629